UUCCCGGUUGAUCCCGCCGGACCUGACUGCUAUCGGAUUGAUACUAAGCCAUGCGAGUCAUUGUAGCAAUACAAGGCAGACGGCUCAGUAACGCGUAGUCAACCUAACCUAUGGACGGGAAUAACCUCGGGAAACUGAGUAUAAUGCCCGAUAGAACAUUAUGCCUGGAAUGGUUUAUGUUCCAAAUGAUUUAUCGCCGUAGGAUGGGACUGCGGCCUAUCAGUUUGUUGGUGAGGUAAUGGCCCACCAAGACUAUUACAGGUACGGGCUCUGAGAGGAGUAGCCCGGAGAUGGGUACUGAGACACGGACCCAGGCCCUAUGGGGCGCAGCAGGCGAGAAAACUUUGCAAUGUGCGAAGGCACGACAAGGUUAAUCCGAGUGGUUUCUGCUAAAGGAACCUUUUGUUAGUCCUAGAAACACUAACGAAUAAGGGGUGGGCAAGUUCUGGUGUCAGCCGCCGCGGUAAAACCAGCACCUCAAGUGGUCAGGAUGAUUAUUGGGCCUAAAGCAUCCGUAGCCUGCUCUGUAAGUUUUCGGUUAAAUCUGUAUGCUCAACAUACAGGCCGCCGGGAAUACUGCAGAGCUAGGGAGUGGGAGAGGUAGACGGUACUCGGGAGGAAGUGGUAAAAUGCUUUGAUCUCUCGAUGACCACCUGUGGCGAAGGCGGUCUACCAGAACACGUCCGACGGUGAGGGAUGAAAGCUGGGGGAGCAAACCGGAUUAGAUACCCGGGUAGUCCCAGCCGUAAACUAUGCAAACUCAGUGAUGCAUUGGCUUGUGGCCAAUGCAGUGUUGCAGGGAAGCCGUUAAGUUUGCCGCCUGGGAAGUACGUACGCAAGUAUGAAACUUAAAGGAAUUGGCGGGGGAGCAC
rnacentral:rRNA from 1 species